GUCCUGUGCUCCAGUCAAACCACAACCCUUCAGUUUUGAUGUUGCAGCUGGUUGCCAUGGAAAUAAUUGUGAUUUCACAGGUUUAGUGUAGCAUCCAUUGCAGGAGACAAUGAGGAACAUUGGUUGUGUGGGAGACAUGUUUAGAGAAUGGGGAGGGCAUGAAAAUAUUCUGAACAUGCCUCAUCUCAGGACCCUAGGGAUCCCCUACCACGUCUUUCUCUGUCUCUCUGUCUCCUUCUCUCCUUUUGUUGUUGUUGUUUUUAUUCCUUAUAGUGACAGUAGCAUCUCCUGCACAGCAGAUACAAGAGCGACUUGAUGUGUCUCACUGCUUCAGCUGCUCAGACAAAGUGAUGUGGUUUCUCCCAUCACUGCCUCCAGUAUAAACAUGCAGUUCUUUGUCUGCUGUCUCCAUUAGCAUUUUCUGCCUUGCAUCCAUGCCGCACAAUUAUUUUUCUUGGGGAAUGUGAUGCCAAGAGACGUCAGCUGGGUUAUAAUUAGCUAUACGCUGGCAGCUCUCAAAAGCUACAGACAAGUGGCACUCGGGAAGGUGUAAAACCAUUUAUUCCUGUACAUUUGAAAGUAGUGGAGAAAUCAUAUUUUGUUUGCUGUGGAUAACUGAGUUUGGUGCGUUAUUGUUGUUCUUUCUGUUGACCUACAUGAAUAUUGGGGUGGGGGACAUUUAAUUUUGACAUAAGUCGUGGAUUCUAAAGGCUAACAACUUCAAUUUUGAUUUCAGGUCAUCCAGCUACUGUCACUGGGCACAACGGGCAAUCAUUAAUUCCACGGUUGAAAAGUUGUGCUUUUAAAUGAAGACAUGGAUUUCUUAUUUCACAAACUUCAUCAAGUUUUUCCUUCAUUUUAAAAUUUCAUUUUUUUUAAAAUAAAAGAAACAUAUUCCUUUCAGAAUUGUUUGCAUAAGGCAAAACACCCUGGCAAACUCAGAAAUGGUGGCCAGUCUUUAUGAUAUAAUUGUGAUAGGCAUGUCCUCUGUUGUGUGUGCCAGAUUAAUUGGUUUGUGGAUCCUAUUCUAAAUGAACAGCUGGCCUCCUUGGUAUAACUGCUGUUUUGACUGUGGAGCUAUGAUAAACUUGCUCAUAGUGUAACCUUCUCUCUCUGAC